rnacentral:tRNA from 1 species
GGCUCAGUGGUUAAAGUGAUCGACUGCUAAUUGAAAGGUCGGUGGUUCGAAACCACU